ensembl:lncRNA
CUCAGGUCAUGGCAACAGCCCUACCAAGUUGGCUGGUAGUGACCACAGUUAAGUUUUGGGCUAGGAAAGAGAAAUAUUUGGCUAGUCAAUUAAAACCGAGAAAGCUGGUUAACUCUGAAGGCCUCAGCUCAUCCAACUGAGAGCAGAUUAGCCCAGAUGGAGACAUUUUCAACACGGUGCUGUCUGGCCAAUCAGAGACAGCUGGGAUUAGCCAAAUACCUUCUCUCAUCUGCUUGCUCACAGAAAGGCCAACAUAUUCAAAGUCCAAAUAAUGUAUUUCUUCAAAAGUGACCAUUCUGGCUAAUAUGAUCCACUCUUACCUGGCGCCCACGAAUUGGCCUUCUCUCUUCACCUCCACUCUGGAUUUCGACCUGAAGUUUGACCUCCAUGGGUCUUCAGUUUAAAGGGCAAGCCCUAGGAAAUGCAGAAAGAGUUCAGAUAAUUGUGGGCCUUCUUUGGUUCUUUUUGCCCUAUGAGUUCCUGCUCCUGCUUUCAGUUUUGGACUGGAGCAACCAGCUGGCGCUCUACCAGUAUCUGGGAGCUGUAUUAUGAAAGCCAAGCUUUGGGGAUGAUAAAGCAAAAAGGCCCCUGAUAGUACCAUGGAACUCCCUGACCAGCAAUGAAGGGGCUCCUUCCAGACUCCUUUAGCACAACAGAAAAAUAAACUUCUAUCUUAUUUAAACUACUGCCAUUUCCUGUCUCUGAUACUAGUAGCUCAACAUACUUUUUCUAAGUGAUUCAGACCAUUAUAAAUUUCUGUUGCCGGUAAUUGGACAUAUGUAGCAGACAAACUAAUCCCAUUAAGACUAGUGUGUUAUUUUUUACCCCACAAUUGAAGACUCUUUUUGAUUGGCUUAAAUCAGUGGUUCUCCACUGAGGGUGGUUUUCUCCCCCUCCCCCCAGGAUAUCUGACAACAUCUGGAGACACUUUGGUGGUCACAGCUGGGGGAGGGGGGGCUUGUACUGGCAUCUAGUGGGUAGAGGCCAGACAUGCUGCUAUUGUCUUAUGGUGCACAGGACGCAGCCCUGCAACAAAAAAUUAUCCAGACCAAAAUAUUAAUGGUGCCAAGGUUAAGAAGCCCUGGGUUAAAUCUUUAUUAAUUAAGUUGCUUACGCAGCCCACCUAACCAUUAACUGUUGAUUAAUGUUUUUUUUUUUGUAAUGUGAGCCUACUUUUUGACUUUGCCUACACAGAAAAUGGUCAUUUUUCCUUACAUCAUAAGGUAAAGUUUAUUAAAUAAAGGUGUGUUUUACUUUUGUGACUAGAUGGCGGAAGUGGGUAAUGAACCAGGUAUCGGCCCGAUGAAUUCUCCUACAGAAAAGUAGAAUAAUACGAAGAAACACAAGAAAGCACCAAGUAAUGAAAAGGCUCAUUGUUACAGACACAACCGUUAAGACAAUGAUGCUGGAGAGUGAAAUAAAGAUGGUGAUGCAGCUCAGUGAACGUUUGAUUGGAAAUGAAGCUGUAGUUGAAUUGGGAAUUGAGACACUGGAAUAAGAUUCCUACUAUGGGAAAGUGGGUAAAGUUGAAAGAAGUCCUUUUCUCAAACCCCAUCUCUAAGAAUUCCUCACUUUCCUCUUGGAAAGAAGAAAAAAAGGAAAGAGGGAAGGAAGGGAGGAAAGAAGGAGAAUGAAGGAAGGAAGAGAGGGAGAGAAGGAGGGAGGGAAGAAAUGAACAAUUGUCUGGCACUAAAAUGUAAUUGAACCUAUGAGUGAUAAUUUAAAACUAGCCAAAAUUAAACUAAGUAAAAACAAAAUGCACACAGCCUCCCUAAAGUACGGAAUGACUCUGUACUUGUCAGCAAAGUAAACCUCAUCUAGCAUUAAACAGUAUUUAUAGGUAACUUUACAAUCAUUGCUAUCAACCGAAAAAAGCUACAAUAAUCCGAUUGCCAUCACUUUAACCAAAGCCCG